GAGCAAAGCAAAUGAAUUCAUCCUGAUCUUUCCUACUAUGCAGGCUCAGAAACAGACAUACAAUGUGAUUAAUCAUAUUUCUAAAUUGGUUCUCAACAAUAGUUUGGACAUGUAAUCAACACAGGUGAUAAUGCAAACUCACAGCAAGAAAUGUGCAUCGUCAUUUAUCAGUUAGUAAAAAAUAAAGCAAUUUCUGAAUAUUCCAUUUAAAGGAAAUCUUCUUCAAAUCAGCUAACAUUUAAAUAAUGUAAAACGUCUGCAGUGAAUUUCUGUGGUUUUGGUAAGCUCAAAUUCCCUUCCCUCUCUUCCAGCAAGUAUCCCAUCUCUUCCUUUAUGACAGGGGAUGAGAUGAUUGGUUGGAUAGCAUCACUAACUCCAAGGAUAUGAAUUUGAGCCAAGUGCAGGAGAUAGUGAAGGACAGGGAAGCCUGGCGUGCUGCAGUCCUUGCUUUUGCAAAGAGUCAGACGCAUACAGCUAAGUGACUAAGCAACAGCAACCACCCCUGUCACCUCUGGAGGAGUUGGUGGGCACAUGGCCGUGAUCUCAGGGAGAAACACCAUCUAGAGCAGGUCAAUUAGAACAACUCACUAGUCAGACAUUGUCAAGAAUCCCAACAAUGGCCACAGAACCUCUGAUCCUUCUCUUGGGACUUUUCACUUGCAGAUCGGGGAGAAACUGUCUUAUUUCUCCUUUGCAGUUGUUGACUCAGGAUGGUUCCAGGUUGCAGCUCCCCGGUCCGUGUGUUUUCCAUGUGACAAGAACUUCACGGAGAAAGAGGAUGCUGUCUUUUAGAAAUGUCUGGGUGACGUCAACAUUCCUUUUCAAGUUGCAGAACUUCCCAUCUUCCACCUACUUGAGUAAAAAAAGGAAAGAACACCUAUCAAAGGGGAGAGAUCCUAGAUUCAACUUAACAACAAUAGUGUAACAGAGUUUCUGAAGCACGAGAUCCCAAUAUACCAUGAAUAAAUUUGUUUCUAAGUGUAGGAAACUGUUUUCUCCUCUCUCAAUUUCAGUCAAGUUUCUUCUUUCAACCUCCAUCUCCUUUUCUUUGUCUCCAUUUCUAUUGAUGUUCCUGGUUUCCAUCUCUGGGUCGGGAAGAUCUCCUGGACAAGGAAAUGGCAACCCACUCCAGUAUUCUUGCCUGGAGAAUCCCAUGGACAGAGAAGCCUGACGGGCUACAGUGCAUGGGGUCGCAAAGAGUUGGACCCAAUUGAGCAUGCACUCACAUUACUUCUUCUUUAAUUCUCUUAAAAGAAACAUCAGCUCAUAUUCAUUAUUAUUGGUCGCAUUCUGACUCUGGUUUUUAAAACCAUAAAGCCUUCUAUGCAGAAAAGUCUCUGUUGAAAAUUCCAAGCUGUUUUAAAAAGACGACAAUUAAAGUUAGUUUCUUCAGGGGAAGAAGAUUAAAAGCAUGGACACUACUUCACUGAGCCAAUUAUUCUCUUGACACAAUUUAAUUAUCUAGUGCAACAAACCAGACACCUUUUCUGCCUGGCCAUUUUAAUGGAGUUUUGACACCAGGAAUUUAAUUAAGUUAGAAGAUCCCAAAAAAACCCUUAGAAGUCAGACAAUCUCUUUCUGGAGCAUUGAGCAUAAAAAAAUUCAUCACUUACGAGCAACAUUAUUAAAUGAGGUUUAUUACUCUAUCCGUGGACUAAACCUUAUUUCUGAUGGGAAUGCAGCUAUUUUAGUUAUCAUUUUAACUAUUUAAAGGGUUGUUGUUGUUGUUGUUUUUAAGAUUCUAAAGGUUACCAGGAAGAGCACUUGAGGAUUAAAAACAAAACAAAUAACAAGCAAUUAUUUAUCCACAUACAAGA
rnacentral:lncRNA from 1 species